AUGUUCUAGCACUUUGUAGUAUACGGUACCAUAAUAUUAGGGAGACAGUGUGAUCUAACAGAAAAAGUACAGGAUUUGGAGCAAAAGAAAAAAAACAACCAACCAACCAAACAAAAAACCCAUAGCUUUCAAAUUCCAGCUGUGCCAAUUGGGUAAAACAUUUAACCUCAUGAGCCUUAGUACAUUCAUCUGUAAAAUGGGAUAAUCAAAUCUACCUCAUGGUGCUGCUAUGAAAAUUAAAUGAGAACACACAAAUAUAUGAUACACUUUAGCAUUAUCCAGAAUAUAAUUUGUACUUGAUUAAUAUUAAAAUUAUGUCCAAAUAAGAUAUGCAUAACUAACAGAGUUGGAGACAAUAAGGAAAACACAAAUUACCAAAACUGGAAAUGAUCCUAGAAGUCAUCUAAUUUAACCUAAUUUAUUCAUUCAGUAUAAUGUAUAUCAGGGCUCCUGCUUUGUGCUUGACACUGCCAUCAGUACAACUCACAAUCUUUGUGCUGGCAGCUUUGACACUGAUAGAGGACUCGGUUUAUAGUCUUCCUCUCUCUAUAUAUGUGUCUACGUUCAUUGUUACAUCCCCAGCACCAAGAAUAGGACCUGGAACAUUGUCAGUAUUCAAUAAGUAUCUGUUGAAAGAAUGUAAAGGGGACCUGCAAGCAUAUAAUGUAAGCAGUUUUUCCACUUCAUCUUGUAUCCUCUGUAUCUGAAAACCAGCUUCAGAGAAAAGCAGCCAACUCUCACUUCAGUCUUAUCAUUAAUCCCCUGACUCCUUAUUAAAAUUGGACCUUGAGUUGUUUUGCCCUGGAAGUGACCUGAAUCACCUCUAAUUUCCACAUGCUUUUAUGAGAAGCUACUGAGAUCCUAACUUCCUUGCCUCGUCCAAAAAGCCAGAGCAAAGUGGAAUAUAGGACGCCACUCUCUCUUCUGCCCCCAGCUCAUUACAUUAUCUCUGUACACACUGCUCGCAUGGGCUACCUUAGCAGAUCUCUUGCCUUCAGAAAUCUCUGGACCGGAAACAGACACCAUCUUUAUGUUCCUGUAGGCUCCGAAACUUCGAGAAACAACUACAAAGCAAUGUCAAGAAAUCUGCCUUCUUGCUUCUUUCUCACGAGAACAUCAGAUAGGCCUGCUGCUCUCAUCUCAGCAGGCACUUAAGCUGAGGAGAGUGAUGCUAGUGUUUCCUUCUUGAAAGCCAUAUCCAGUCUUCAACUGAUCUUUUUGGAAUUCUUCUUUUCCU
rnacentral:lncRNA from 1 species